rnacentral:rRNA from 1 species
CAUUAACGAAUAAACCUGGCAGAUUGUAGCUGGCCCUUUCGAGGGUAUGUGCACAUCGGUCAUUUUUAUCUUUCCACCUGUGCACCUCAUGUAGACCUAGAGGAUUGGAACUGCAAGCUUAUCAAUCUGAGGUAAAACUCAGUCGUGAGGAGUUGUAGGCACUUCAAGUGUCAGCUCUCCUUGUUGUAGGCUCUGUUCUCUAGGAUCUAUGCUUUCACACACCCCAUUUAAAAAUCAUCAGAAUGUAUUCAAUGGGUCUUUGUACCUAUAAAAACUAUACAACUUUCAGCAACGGAUCUCUUGGCUCUCGCAUCGAUGAAGAACGCAGCGAAAUGCGAUAAGUAAUGUGAAUUGCAGAAUUCAGUGAAUCAUCGAAUCUUUGAACGCACCUUGCGCCCCUUGGUAUUCCGAGGGGCAUGCCUGUUUGAGUGUCAUUAAAUUCUCAACCUUACUAGCUUUGCUGGUCUGGCUUGGAUAUGGAGGUUUAUGCAGGCUCUCGAGUCAGCUCCUCUGAAAUGCAUUAGCGGUACCUCUGUGGUAUAACAGCUAUUGGUGUGAUAACUAUCUACGCCAUUAGUCAGUGCCACGCAUAUAAAGGGGCUAUGCUGCUGUCUAACAGUCUACUUGCUAGACAAUACUUGACAUCUUGACCUCAAAUCAGGUAGGACUACCC